rnacentral:rRNA from 1 species
UACGUAGGGGGCAAGCGUUGUCCGGAAUCAUUGGGCGUAAAGCGCGCGUAGGCGGCCCGGUAAGUCCGCUGUAAAAGUCCAGGGCUCAACCCUGGAAAGCCGGUGGAUACUGUCGGGCUAGAGUCCGGAAGAGGCGAGUGGAAUUCCUGGUGUAGCGGUGGAAUGCGCAGAUAUCAGGAGGAACACCGAUAGCGAAGGCAGCUCGCUGGGACGGUACUGACGCUGAGGCGCGAAAGCUAGGGGAGCAAACGGG